UAUAAGCACUUUAUACUGUGAAACUGCGAAUGGCUCAUUAAAUCAGUUAUCGUUUAUUUGAUAGUACCUUACUACAUGGAUACCUGUGGUAAUUCUAGAGCUAAUACAUGCUAAAAACCUCGACUUCGGAAGGGGUGUAUUUAUUAGAUAAAAAACCAAUGCCCUUCGGGGCUCCUUGGUGAUUCAUAAUAACUUAACGAAUCGCAUGGCCUUGCGCCGGCGAUGGUUCAUUCAAAUUUCUGCCCUAUCAACUUUCGAUGGUAGGAUAGUGGCCUACCAUGGUGGCAACGGGUAACGGGGAAUUAGGGUUCGAUUCCGGAGAGGGAGCCUGAGAAACGGCUACCACAUCCAAGGAAGGCAGCAGGCGCGCAAAUUACCCAAUCCCGACACGGGGAGGUAGUGACAAUAAAUACUGAUACGGGGCUCUUUUGGGUCUCGUAAUUGGAAUGAGUACAAUCUAAAUCCCUUAACGAGGAACAAUUGGAGGGCAAGUCUGGUGCCAGCAGCCGCGGUAAUUCCAGCUCCAAUAGCGUAUAUUAAAGUUGUUGCAGUUAAAAAGCUCGUAGUUGAACCUUGGGUCUGGCUGGCCGGUCCGCCUCACCGCGAGUACUGGUCCGGCUGGACCUUUCCUUCUGGGGAACCCCAUGGCCUUCACUGGCUGUGGGGGGAACCAGGACUUUUACUGUGAAAAAAUUAGAGUGUUCAAAGCAGGCCUUUGCUCGAAUACAUUAGCAUGGAAUAAUAGAAUAGGACGUGCGGUUCUAUUUUGUUGGUUUCUAGGACCGCCGUAAUGAUUAAUAGGGAUAGUCGGGGGCGUCAGUAUUCAGCUGUCAGAGGUGAAAUUUCCUUGGAUUUGCUGAAGACUAACUACUGCGAAAGCNUUCGCCAAGGAUGUUUUCAUUAAUCAGGGANCGAAAGUUAGGGGAUCGAAGACNAUCAGAUACCGUCGUAGUCUUAACCAUAAACUAUGCCGACUAGGGAUC
rnacentral:rRNA from 2 species